rnacentral:piRNA from 1 species
UAAUCUUCGAAUUCCAGAAGA